AUGGACACAUCACAACCUACUAAGGAAACAAAUCCAACAGCGGCUACAAUUCAAAUUGACACAACACAACCAAAUGAUGCUUCUCAACAAAUUGACUACUUUGGUGACAUAACUGAUGAUAUCAUUUCAAGCCUUUUUGACAUCAACACAUUACAAGCACCUAUUGCAGAAGUCAUAGUUGCCAAAAAGCCAAAAAAGAAGGGGAAAGAGGUGAAGCUAAUGAGAAGGAGGUCAAAUGAAGAGGGUGGCACUUUGACACAAGAAGGAAAUGGUUCUCAAUGUGCAAAGAGGAAACUUAGGAAGUAG